rnacentral:rRNA from 1 species
AACGAACGCUGGCGGCAUGCCUAACACAUGCAAGUCGAACGAGACCUUCGGGUCUAGUGGCGCACGGGUGCGUAACGCGGGGGAACCUGCCCUUAGGUUCGGAAUAACUCCCCGAAAGGGGUGCUAAUACCGGAUAAUGUCUUCGGACCAAAGAUUUAUCGCCUUUGGAUGGGCCCGCGUUGGAUUAGCUAGUUGGUAGGGUAAAAGCCUACCAAGGCGACGAUCCAUAGCUGGUCUGAGAGGAUGAUCAGCCACACUGGGACUGAGACACGGCCCAGACUCCUACGGGAGGGAGCAGUGGGGAAUAUUGGACAAGGGGCGAAAGCCUGAUCCAGCAAUGCCGCGUGAGUGAUGAAGGCCUUAGGGUUGUAAAGCUCUUUUACCCGGGAUGAUAAUGACAGUACCGGGAGAAUAAGCUCCGGCUAACUCCGUG